AAUUCCAGCUCCAGAAGCGUAUUUUAAAGUUGUUGCAGUUAAAAAGCUCGUAGUUGGAUCUGGGUAGCAGGCUACGCGCUGUAGCUAGUUUCUUCACCAGUUUUCGGUGUUGAAAUUGCUCGGUGUAGUGGUCGUGUGACCUUUCUGCCGUGUCUGUGUACACAGGUGCCAACCGUUAGGUCGGCAUGCUCUCGGGUGCCUUUAAUCGGGUGUCCGGAGCAGACGGCACGUUUACUUUGAACAAAUUUGAGUGCUCAAAGCAGGCCGUAGAGCCUGAAAAGUCUUGCAUGGAAUAAUGGAAUAGGACUUCGGUUCUAUUUUGUUGGUUUUCGGAUCCGAAGUAAUGGUUAAGAGGGACAAACGGGGGCAUUUGUAUGGCGGCGUUAGAGGUGAAAUUCUUGGAUCGUCGCCAGACAAUCUACAGCGAAAGCAUUUGCCAAGGAUGUUUUCAUUGAUCUGGAGCGAAAGUCAGAGGUUCGAAGACGAUCAGAUACCGUCCUAGUUCUGACCAUAAACGAUGCCAACUGACGAUCCGCGGCGCGCUAUUUUCGGCCCCGCGGGCAGUCCCCGGGAAACCCUUAAGUCUUUGGGCUCCGGGGGAAGUAUGGUUGCAAAGCUGAAACUAAAGGAAUG
rnacentral:rRNA from 1 species